rnacentral:rRNA from 1 species
AGCGUACACGGUGGAUGCCCUGGCAGUCAGAGGCGAUGAAGGACGUGCUAAUCUGCGAUAAGCGUCGGUAAGGUGAUAUGAACCGUUAUAACCGGCGAUUUCCGAAUGGGGAAACCCAGUGUGUUUCGACACACUAUCAUUAACUGAAUCCAUAGGUUAAUGAGGCGAACCGGGGGAACUGAAACAUCUAAGUACCCCGAGGAAAAGAAAUCAACCGAGAUUCCCCCAGUAGCGGCGAGCGAACGGGGAGCAGCCCAGAGCCUGAAUCAGUGUGUGUGUUAGUGGAAGCGUCUGGAAAGGCGCGCGAUACAGGGUGACAGCCCCGUACACAAAAAUGCACAUGCUGUGAGCUCGAUGAGUAGGGCGGGACACGUGGUAUCCUGUCUGAAUAUGGGGGGACCAUCCUCCAAGGCUAAAUACUCCUGACUGACCGAUAGUGAACCAGUACCGUGAGGGAAAGGCGAAAAGAACCCCGGCGAGGGGAGUGAAAAAGAACCUGAAACCGUGUACGUACAAGCAGUGGGAGCACGCUUAGGCGUGUGACUGCGUACCUUUUGUAUAAUGGGUCAGCGACUUAUAUUCUGUAGCAAGGUUAACCGAAUAGGGGAGCCGAAGGGAAACCGAGUCUUAACUGGGCGUUAAGUUGCAGGGUAUAGACCCGAAACCCGGUGAUCUAGCCAUGGGCAGGUUGAAGGUUGGGUAACACUAACUGGAGGACCGAACCGACUAAUGUUGAAAAAUUAGCGGAUGACUUGUGGCUGGGGGUGAAAGGCCAAUCAAACCGGGAGAUAGCUGGUUCUCCCCGAAAGCUAUUUAGGUAGCGCCUCGUGAAUUCAUCUCCGGGGGUAGAGCACUGUUUCGGCAAGGGGGUCAUCCCGACUUACCAACCCGAUGCAAACUGCGAAUACCGGAGAAUGUUAUCACGGGAGACACACGGCGGGUGCUAACGUCCGUCGUGAAGAGGGAAACAACCCAGACCGCCAGCUAAGGUCCCAAAGUCAUGGUUAAGUGGGAAACGAUGUGGGAAGGCCCAGACAGCCAGGAUGUUGGCUUAGAAGCAGCCAUCAUUUAAAGAAAGCGUAAUAGCUCACUGGUCGAGUCGGCCUGCGCGGAAGAUGUAACGGGGCUAAACCAUGCACCGAAGCUGCGGCAGCGACGCUUAUGCGUUGUUGGGUAGGGGAGCGUUCUGUAAGCCUGCGAAGGUGUGCUGUGAGGCAUGCUGGAGGUAUCAGAAGUGCGAAUGCUGACAUAAGUAACGAUAAAGCGGGUGAAAAGCCCGCUCGCCGGAAGACCAAGGGUUCCUGUCCAACGUUAAUCGGGGCAGGGUGAGUCGACCCCUAAGGCGAGGCCGAAAGGCGUAGUCGAUGGGAAACAGGUUAAUAUUCCUGUACUUGGUGUUACUGCGAAGGGGGGACGGAGAAGGCUAUGUUGGCCGGGCGACGGUUGUCCCGGUUUAAGCGUGUAGGCUGGUUUUCCAGGCAAAUCCGGAAAAUCAAGGCUGAGGCGUGAUGACGAGGUACUACGGUGCUGAAGCAACAAAUGCCCUGCUUCCAGGAAAAGCCUCUAAGCAUCAGGUAACAUCAAAUCGUACCCCAAACCGACACAGGUGGUCAGGUAGAGAAUACCAAGGCGCUUGAGAGAACUCGGGUGAAGGAACUAGGCAAAAUGGUGCCGUAACUUCGGGAGAAGGCACGCUGAUAUGUAGGUGAAGUCCCUCGCGGAUGGAGCUGAAAUCAGUCGAAGAUACCAGCUGGCUGCAACUGUUUAUUAAAAACACAGCACUGUGCAAACACGAAAGUGGACGUAUACGGUGUGACGCCUGCCCGGUGCCGGAAGGUUAAUUGAUGGGGUCAGCGCAAGCGAAGCUCUUGAUCGAAGCCCCGGUAAACGGCGGCCGUAACUAUAACGGUCCUAAGGUAGCGAAAUUCCUUGUCGGGUAAGUUCCGACCUGCACGAAUGGCGUAAUGAUGGCCAGGCUGUCUCCACCCGAGACUCAGUGAAAUUGAACUCGCUGUGAAGAUGCAGUGUACCCGCGGCAAGACGGAAAGACCCCGUGAACCUUUACUAUAGCUUGACACUGAACAUUGAGCCUUGAUGUGUAGGAUAGGUGGGAGGCUUUGAAGUGUGGACGCCAGUCUGCAUGGAGCCGACCUUGAAAUACCACCCUUUAAUGUUUGAUGUUCUAACGUUGACCCGUAAUCCGGGUUGCGGACAGUGUCUGGUGGGUAGUUUGACUGGGGCGGUCUCCUCCUAAAGAGUAACGGAGGAGCACGAAGGUUGGCUAAUCCUGGUCGGACAUCAGGAGGUUAGUGCAAUGGCAUAAGCCAGCUUGACUGCGAGCGUGACGGCGCGAGCAGGUGCGAAAGCAGGUCAUAGUGAUCCGGUGGUUCUGAAUGGAAGGGCCAUCGCUCAACGGAUAAAAGGUACUCCGGGGAUAACAGGCUGAUACCGCCCAAGAGUUCAUAUCGACGGCGGUGUUUGGCACCUCGAUGUCGGCUCAUCACAUCCUGGGGCUGAAGUAGGUCCCAAGGGUAUGGCUGUUCGCCAUUUAAAGUGGUACGCGAGCUGGGUUUAGAACGUCGUGAGACAGUUCGGUCCCUAUCUGCCGUGGGCGCUGGAGAACUGAGGGGGGCUGCUCCUAGUACGAGAGGACCGGAGUGGACGCAUCACUGGUGUUCGGGUUGUCAUGCCAAUGGCACUGCCCGGUAGCUAAAUGCGGAAGAGAUAAGUGCUGAAAGCAUCUAAGCACGAAACUUGCCCCGAGAUGAGUUCU